rnacentral:tRNA from 1 species
GGGAGAAUAGUUAAAAAUAACAUUUAAAUUGCAAUUAAAAAUUACAUAAAUUUGUUUCUCUUA